rnacentral:rRNA from 1 species
UACGUAGGGUGCGAGCGUUGUCCGGAAUUAUUGGGCGUAAAGAGCUCGUAGGCGGUCUGUCGCGUCGGAUGUGAAAGCCCGGGGCUUAACUCCGGGUCUGCAUUCGAUACGGGCAGACUAGAGUGUGGUAGGGGAGAUCGGAAUUCCUGGUGUAGCGGUGAAAUGCGCAGAUAUCAGGAGGAACACCGGUGGCGAAGGCGGAUCUCUGGGCCGAUAUUGACGCUGAGGAGCGAAAGCGUGGGGAGCGAACAGG